rnacentral:lncRNA from 1 species
AGUGGAUAAGUGUAAGAUCGAUGAGAGGCUCCCCAUACUCUCACAAAGAACCUAAUUAGAGAACCUUCUUUCUUUGAAACAUAGUUUUUGAAUAAUUUUUCUAGACACCGACAGGCUAACCAACCUAAAUCUGAUCCAAUUCUUGGGUUCUCCUAUCCUAAUAAGCUCGGAUGUCCCUAGGAUUAUUAUCUAAUUGAUUUUAAUUUAAGGCUUAGGGUUAAUGCAGAUGAGGGUGGUGGUUUAUGGGCCA